UAAUACGGAGGGUGCAAGCGUUAAUCGGAAUUACUGGGCGUAAAGAGUACGUAGGUUGUUCGUUUAGUCAGAUGUGAAAGCCCAGGGCUUAACCUUGGAACUGCAUUUGAUACUGGCGAGCUAGAGUAUGGUAGAGGGGGGUAGAAUUCAUAGUGUAGCGGUGAAAUGCGUAGAUAUUAUGAGGAAUACCGGUGGCGAAGGCGGCCCCCUGGCCCAAUACUGACACUGAGGUACGAAAGCGUGGGUAGCGAACAGGAUUAGAUACCCUGGUAGUCCACGCCGUAAACGAUGUCAACUAGCCGUUGGGACCUUGAGGUCUCAGUGGUGCAGCUAACGCGUGAAGUUGACCGCCUGGGGAGUACGGCCGCAAGGCUA
rnacentral:rRNA from 1 species